GGUCCGAUGGCCGAGCGGUUAGGCAGAGGUUUGCAAAACCUCGUACAACAGUUCAAAUCUGUUUCGGACCU
rnacentral:tRNA from 1 species